UUGAGAGGCCAGCGUGUGAGGCUGGUCCUGUGGGGGUCAGCCUAAGUGGCUGCCGACCAGUGGGUCAGACGGUGGUGCUUGGGUGCAGCAGGAGUGGAGCUGUGUGCUUGGGUGCAGCAGGAGUGGAGCUGUGUGCUUAUCCCAUAUUUGUCCUCCUCUCUCCACCUCUGGGCUUGAGCCAUGUGAGGACGUAACACAACCUCAACUUCAGCCAACCUGGAAUUGGACACCUGCAGUUCUGUGGCAGCAUCUGCAGAUACGGGGGGCGGCGGGGAGCAUUGAACAUACCACAACCAGGCAGACAGUAUGUGGAAAAAAAACUCUUCAACCAGUCAAACAAAGACGUCUGAUGGGGAUAAAUAUUUUUGACACAUUAAGUUCAACCAGUGUGUGGGUUAUAUUUAAAAGAAACACAUAAUUAACCUACGCCCCAGGUAGCUGUGCACGCAUUCGGUUAACACGAAACAGAAUAAACAAAUAGAGCAGGAGCAAGGACACCAACAUCAUUUAAAAUUAAAGCAGCUAGUGUUUUUGUGCAUCCUUAAAAAUAACCUUUAAAACUGCUGAUCCAAGUAAGAGGCUUUCAAUCUGUUUUCAAAGUUCAUUCCCUGGUGCUAUAAAGUGAUCCUGACAGGAAAAAGCUAGACUGUUGUGGUGUAACAGACUUGGAAGAAAGAGAUGUGACAUUUUACUCAUUUGUACUCUCCCCUGUGUUUAAAAAUUGAAGUGGAACUAACUGCAAAUAUCUAGCUUUCCAAUCUACACAUAUGUACCGUGCAUUAAAGACUAAUACAAAAACGCAGUGCAGUGCUUGUAAGGAAACAAAUAUGAAGGCACUACACAUUGGAAAUUUAACUGUACACUGUAUUUAGUCACCCUGGCAGUCUCAAGCCUUCAAUUGCUAGAAAGAACAGAAAGGAAAAAAAGUGCUGCGGUAAUUCAGUGCAAAACUCAAACAAAUAUUCUUGUUUCGCUCAUUCAGUGUCAGCACGGCAGCAACAGAAAAGGGAGUUCUCCUGUCGUAAGGUUUACAUAUAUAAUAGGAACAUCUUUGACACGUCAGACAAAGCAGUACAGUAACCAAUUCAGUUUAUCAGUCACAUAAAGGUAGUUUUCUCCUUUAAUUGAGUAAAUGUAAAUGGACACUGAAGGCACCCGUAGCAUUAAAAACCCUGUGUGCAUACACUCAGUUAUAAUGUUCAGUUCUAGAGGUGUUGAUUCAACUUUAUGGCCAUUUUGAAGCAUGUACUUUGUGGAGAUGUUGAAUUGCAUUGUGUUAUAUUAUACUGAGAGGUGUUUCUAAUAUUAUUCUGUUCUCACUGAUGUAAAUGGGACCGACAACAUCCCUUAGUAUAACCGUUUCAUUAAAUCAACACCUCUCUGAAACAAACUAAACAUAAUAACCUUCACGA